CCUACGGGUGACAGCAGUGGGGAAUAUUGCUCAAUGGGCGCGACCCUGAACCAGCCAAGUAGCGUGAAGGAUGACGGCCCUACGGGUUGUAAACUUCUUUUAUAAAGGAAUAAAUUGCGGCACCUGUGCCAUUUUGUCUGUACUUUAUGAAUACUGAUCGGCUAGCUCCGUGCCAGCAGCCGCGGUAAUACGGAGUGUCCGAGCGUUAUGCGGAAUUAGUGGGGUUAAAGGGAGCGUAGAUGGGUUGUUAAGUCAGUUGUGAAAGUUUGCGGCUCAACCGUAAAAUUGCAAUUGAUACUGGCAGCCUAGAGUAGAGUGGAGGUAGGCGGAAUUCGUGGUGUAGCGGUGAAAUGCUUAGAUAUCACGAAGAACACCGAUUGCGAAGGCAGCCUACUAAACUGCCACUGACACUGAUGCUCGAAAGUGUGGGGAUCAAACAGGAUUAGAUACCCUAGUAGUC
rnacentral:rRNA from 1 species